rnacentral:sRNA from 1 species
CUCUUUCCAAAAUGGACAAGUCCCUCUUGCUGGAACUCCCCAUCCUGCUCUGCUGCUUUAGGGGUGAGUCCCUAGGGUUGACAGCUGGUAAGAGUCCUGAAUUUAGGAACAGGUGAGAGCACCCAUGACAGAGGCCUUCUCAUGGGAGUCCUAUGGUAACUGAAGCAUCAUGAGCUUCUGCUCUAAUGUUAUGCCUUAUACCAGGGAUAUGUCAUGUCCCCAGGACCUUAACUAAAACUCUUCUCCCUUCCUUUAUGGGGGGAAAUAGGUAGAUUAGAGAGGAAUUGAGUGGAUUUUCAUAGAAGCUUUGAGAUGGGGUUUGGAAAAUGAGGUCUGCAGACCGUGUAUCUCUUUUUUUUUCAACAGCAUUAUCUGGAUCACUUUCAUUGAGAAAUGAUGCAGUACAGUCAAUGAAAUAGUUGCUGUGAAAAACAAUUUUCCUGGUAAGUAUGAAGAGGACCUGUCUGAUCACCUCAGUCUUGAUAAUGUUUCACUUUUCCUUAUUCCUCCACCUUUCUUUCCCCUCCCAUUUUUCAGGCUAAAAUUCCUGAGACCAUAAACCUCAAUCACUCUCUUGGCUUAGUGUAUUUCCACAGUGGAAGAUGUUCACGCUUGAUGGGCUCUGGCAAAGCCCUGUGGCUCUAGGCAGACUUCUAACCCAAAAGGGGAGAGGGGUUCUUUCCUGGUACUGCCAUCUUUUCUCACUUCUCUUUCCCCUCUCUCUGGCCAAGUGAUAGAAAUUGUUCAGUGUAGGAUGUGCCACCUCCAGUUCCCAGGAGAAAAGUGCUCCAGAGGAAGAGGAAUAUGCACAGCAACAACAGAAGAGGCCUGCAUGGUUGGAAGGAUGUUCAAAAGUAAGUUGUGCAUUGGGGAAAAGAAGAAUGGGCAGAGGAAGUAUACAGGGACAUAUCAGCCACGGGAGAGACCUUACUUUACUUUUACUAUAGGCAGUCUCAUACCUGGGAUGGCUGAUUCCUUCAUCCCCAUCAUAUGCCGUAAUGAAAAUUAGAUGGAGGUGGCCACUAAGGAGGGUGGGGGCCUACAGCUAAGGGAUUAGUAUUUUGAGAAGCC